rnacentral:rRNA from 1 species
GGCGAACGGGUGAGUAACUCGUGGGAAACCUACCUCUUAGCAGGGGAUACCAUUUGGAAACAGAUGCUAAUACCGCAUAACAAUAGCAACCGCAUGGCUGCUACUUAAAAGAUGGUUCUGCUAUCACUAAGAGAUGGUCCCGCGGUGCAUUAGCUAGUUGGUGAGGUAAUGGCUCACCAAGACGAUGAUGCAUAACCGAGUUGAGAGACUGAUCGGGCACAAUGGGACUGAGACUCUGCCCAUACUCCUACGGGAGGCCCCUGCACGGAAUCUUCCCCUAUGCGCGAAAGCCUGAUGCAAUCACUCCACGUGUGUGAUGAAGGGUUUCCCCUCGUAAGACCCUGUUGUAACAUAAAAAUGACCUUGAUAGUCCCUGGUCUGUGCGGGACCGCAUCUUACCCUAAAGGAACGGCUAAUUACGUGCCACUCCCCGCGGGAAUACGUAUGUUCCAAGCGUUAUCCGGAUUUAUUGGGCGUAAAGCGAGCGCCUACGGCUAUUUAAGUCUGAAGUGAAACUACCUCAGCUCAACUGAGGAAUUGCUUACCCACACUGGAUGACUCUGAGUGCAGUAUACG